AGAGUUUGAUCCUGGCUCAGAGCGAACGCUGGCGGCAGGCUUAACACAUGCAAGUCGAGCGCCCCGCAAGGGGAGCGGCAGACGGGAGAGUAACACGUGGGAACGUACCUUUCAGUUCGGAACAACACAGGGAAACUUGUGCUAAUACCGGAUACGCCCGUAAGGGGAAAGAUUUAUCGCUGAAAGAUCGGCCCGCGUCU
rnacentral:rRNA from 1 species